rnacentral:rRNA from 1 species
UGGGGAAUUUUGCACAAUGGAGGAAACUCUGAUGCAGCGACGCCGCGUGAGUGAUGAAGAUCUUCGGAUUGUAAAACUCUGUCCUUAGUGAAGAUAAUGACAGUAACUAAGAAGCAAGCCCUGGCUAAAUACGUGCCAGCAGCCGCGGUAAUACGUAUGGGGCAAGCGUUGUCCGGAAUUAUUGGGCGUAAAGGGUACGUAGGCGGUUUAAUAAGUCCUAAUUAAAAGGCUAUGGCUCAACCAUAGUAUGGUUAGGAAACUGUUGAACUUGAGUAGAUGAGGGGAAAGUGGAAUUCCAUGUGUAGCGGUGAAAUGCGUAGAUAUAUGGAGGAACACCAAUUGCGAAGGCAACUUUCUGGAAUCAAACUGACGCUGAGGUACGAAGGCGUGGGGAGCAAACAGG